rnacentral:tRNA from 10 species
AGAAGAUAUCUAUUUCAAGUACAAUAUGUAUAAGACAAAUUAAAAAUAAGCGGUAGGCAAGGUCAAAUCAAACAUAUAAUUUUACAGAAACUAGCCUUAGACAAUAACUAAAACCAUGGAAAGGAAUGAUUUAUUCUGGAUAUUGGCUGCUAAAGAGCACUGACCCAUAUAUAGAAUGCUUUGGUAAGAAGAGACUCAAUUUCUUAGACUAAACCCCAAAGAUACAGACUUUUGAUGAAUUUAGAUAACAGAGGGUCACUUGAAUCUUCAUUUUAGGCACCUAUUUUGGAAAUGUGAGGAAAAAAGUCAGUUUAGUGGAAAUUGGAGGGCUUCCAAUAAAAACAGUCUUGUAAAUUCAUUCUUUGAAGACUCUUCUGCUCAAAAGCAAUAGCAAUGGCAGACUAAAUACAAAAAGAGAUGACUAAAAAGAUAGAGCCACAGUCAAAAAUUAGUUAAACAUCUCCAAGGACCAUAAAUACAAGAAAAGCAAAAUGCAAUAAGCAGGUUGGAAACCAUGGGGCCUGAAAGUCUUUAGAUCCAGAAGUCGACUGAGGCAACUAGAACUUCUAAUCUCUCAGCAGAACUGACUUCGUGUGAAAGACAAAGGCCAGACUUGCUGCCUGGAAGUGGAAGCAGGGCUCUCUCAUCUGUGUUGAGAAAGGCACUCAUCUGUGUAUCUAGCGAGACGGGAGAAAGUGGUCAUUUUAGAACAAGCCACCACAAGCCAGGUAAGUGCCUCUGCUUUACUUCUAGUAUCAUCAUAAAACAGGAGUCCUUGAUGUCCCAAUUAGGAUCUCAUUCUAGAUGACAAGUAUAUAGUAUUGAAUAAAGAAAGACUCAAGAACAUUAACAAGGAAGAAUGAGCAUAAAGGAGAGAAAACUCCCAUUCACAAGGAGUUGAAAAUUAAAAUUUCAAAACAUAAGAAGAAAAUGAAAAUUCUUUUUUAGGAAUGCUGCUUAAAAAGCAAGUGGAAGAUGAAUUCUUCCAGGUGAAAUGAAAACAUCAGAGCAAUUUGAAAACAUCAAAGCAGUUUUAAAAUGUCUCUAAAAUGCAUAUAUUUUGGACUUACAAAGAGAUGAAGAAGAAAGCAUAAUUUCUCAUGAGAAAUCAUGAAGCCAGAAGGAAGCAGCACAACGGUCUUCAAGUACUGAACAAAAUGAACUAUCAACUGUAGAAUUCAAUAUUCAGUAAAAUCAUCCUUUAGGAAUGAAAGAGAAAUAAAGUUUUUCUUUAUCCACCAUUAGACAAAGGAAACCAAGAGAAUUUGCCAGUAGCAGAUAUACCCUCACUAGCAGAUAUACCCUAAAUGAAUGGCAAAGGAAGUCCUCUAUAACCAGAAGAAAAAGGAUUGAAAAAAGGAGUCUUAGAACACCAGGAAGAAAAGAAGAAUAAUGGAAAAAGCAAAAAUGGCAAGUUGAGCAGUGAAGUGGCAGCCUGCUGUGUUGGGGUGAUGGCCUCACUUUUGUCAUAUUAAUGUGAGAUACAUAAGCAGGUGAGUGUCAGAGGAGAAUGUAGGAUUGUGGGCAAUCCUAAACCAGUUAGUUAGGUAGAAUUCACCGAAAUCGAAUUAAAUUUCACAAAACUACCAUUGCUGUGUGGGAUGAUAUGACACACAAAAGAAAUAAACUUGAUUAUUUCACUUAUCAAGGCAUUCCUUUGGCAUUGUCUAAAAAUAACUAUUAGCUGAUAGAGCCAAGCAUGUCUGCUCUAACAGGAGAAAGGAAAUUGAGAUUUCCCAAUAUUCUUUUCUUGCCAUGACAGAGACUAGAUUUGUGUUCAAUGAUACGUGUUUUUCUCACCAUUCCAUUGACACUUUUUUAAUCUGAUGAUUUACUUUUAUCCCAUCCCUUAAAACUAAUCCUAGGAAAGAGGUUAGAGAAAUUUCCUGAAUUACCUGGAGCCACAAAGAAAAACUAAAAGCUAAGUUUUUAUUUAUAUUGCUAGCAUUUUUGUUAGAUACAACGGUAUUUGAUACCUUUUAACUUCUAUCAAAUGUAUUAUUUAAAAAUCAUCAAUCUAGAAUUGAUGCUUAAUAAUUUUGUCAAAAAUAUUAAGUAUUAAUCAUUGUAUUAUCAUGAUUUUUUUUUUUUUGAGACAGAGUCUCACUGUGUCGCCCAGGCUGGAGUGCAACGGCGCGAUCUCAGCGGCUCACUGCAACCUCAGCCUCCUGGUUCAAGCAAUUCUCCUGCCUCAGCCUCCUGAGUAGCUGGGAUUGCAGAUGCGCACCAGUAUUAUCACAAUUUAAAAAAGGGUUUUGUAAAAUAUUAACUCUCAAUCUCCACUAAACCUAAAACAUCUCAUAUACACUCUAAUAUCAAAAAACAAAUGGUUUAACUGUAUUUAAACAGUGGGAAUAAACAUAGAGAGGUCAUUAUGUCAAUAUCAAGUUCACUCUAAUGUGUGAGUAAAUUUUAUGAUUAAGAAGUGUUGUCUAAUUGUUUUCUAAGGCAGUGGGACUCACCUAGCACAGCUGUGAAAAUUCCACAUCUUUUCACACUGAAGUUUAAAUUGAAAAAUAGAGGCCAUGUAAGUUUAUGAAGUAUGGUGAUAAAGUUAUUUCGUGACCGUUUUUUUUAAAUGUCUAUCAAUGGAAAUACUGUAACUGAUGUGGUGGUAAUAUUUAGCUACCAGAAAAAAACCAUGGCUAAGCCUUAUGAAUAUUAUCACUUCUCCCUGUAUAGGCCUGCACUGGAAAAGUCAUUCAUUCAACUACAGUAUUACACCUCUCAUGGUAACCAUUACUGGAGGCUGAUUCUUUACCUCUCCACCUCCUUUAAUCUGUAACAAGAGAGUGAUGGCUACAAUUCCACAGACUUUAAACACUGGUCAGCAUUUAAGUUUUUCUUCUAUCUUUCAGGAGGCACUAAGAACAUAUUUUGCACAAAAAACACUAAUAAGAUUGCAGAAUAAAAGUCUCAAUCAUGCAUAUAUUCUUUCCCCACUUCUUUUACUCUUCUGUUGAGUUAGUGCUUAAAACAAAAUACCGCACCUUUCUCCAUCAAUUUCCUCCAUGAAAUUCAAAGUAUUCAGGUGAGGAUAGGUUAUUUUCACAUCCAGCCUGUGUAUCUCGCUGCAUCAUGAGAAGCUCAGCUGCUGCUGUUGUUUUGUUUUUGUCUGAAGGCAGGAUGUGUUUGAUUCUCUUUUUAAAGUUACUCAAGAGAAAAUGUUGACUGCUGUAAUAAAAAUCUGGAUGAAAUUGUAGUACAAUGUGUUCUGAGACUCAUACUCUAGGAAAUGUAUGCAGAGUACACUGAGAUUAAUAAAUGAAGUGGAAAAAUCUUCUAUAUUAAAAUGUUUUUCUCUUGAAA